ensembl:snoRNA
UGUUGUGAUGAGAACGAGUAAUAGGAAGUGCCGUCAGAAGCGAUAACUGACGAUAUUUAUACCUGAUCUGAUU